rnacentral:rRNA from 1 species
GAUGAACGCUAGCUACAGGCUUAACACAUGCAAGUUGAGCGAUCUUCUUCGGAAGAGAGCGGCGGACGGGUGAGUAACGCGUGGGUAACCUACCCUGUACACACGGAUAACAUACCGAAAGGUAUGCUAAUACGAGAUAAUAUAUUUCAUUCGCAUGUUUGAAAUAUACAAAGCUUUUGCGGUACAGGAUGGACCCGCGUCUAGACUUAGCUAGUUGGUGAGGUAACGGCUCACCAAGGCGACGAUCAGUAGCCGACCUGAGAGGGUGAUCGGCCACAUUGGAACUGAGACACGGUCCAAACUCCUACGGGAGGCAGCAGUGGGAAUAUUGCACAAUGGGCGAAAGCCUGAUGCA